UACAUAUCAAGUAAAUCCAUCGUCACUGCAGGUCUCCCAACCUGACCAACUACCUCAUUAAAAUUAAAUAAUCAAUGCAAGCCAACUUUCUCUGUCUGCUCCAUUCUCUCUCCCACACCAUACUUCCGCAGGCUUAGACUUCUCAUCCAAAUCUCAUCACUAUUGUCCAAUUGUAAAACAACAUAUCUCCAUUCAGCUCUCUCCUUCUCUGCUGCUGAAACCCUUAUCCAUGCAUUAUCACUUCCAGACUCAACUCCUGCAAUAGUAUAAUUUAUGGUGCACCCACCAAAUUCCUUUAUAGACUCCAGUACAUGCAGAACUCUCAGAAAAUUCAGGAUUAAAUGGGUUAGUUUUGUGGUGAAGUGAGCUCACAGUGACAGUCAGUUAAGAUAUUGAGACAAACAUAUAUGAGUCUCCUCAUAGUGACAGACGAGAUAGACUUGACCCUGACUGCUAUCUAGAGUUUUUUUAUUAAAGGAACAUUAAACUAAUUAGAAAUGUUAAACUGUGGGUUUACUCUUCUCUGUCUGAAUUGACUCCUCCUCACAGGGAUUUGACAGGUUUUCAGGCUGAGAGGACCCAAACGCAGAACCGAGUUUAGACAGUUUAUUCAGAGGAGAGUAAGCGGGGAAGACGGAGGUUCAGGACAGAGGCUCUCUCCCAGGUUCAGGGUAGGAGGGAAAUCCGGGAGCGGGGAGUGUCCAAGCUGAGGGCAACACUGAGAGUUUACUGGCUGGUUGUCUGCUGAUGUCUGCAACAGUUAGACUGGAACAGACAAUAACCACGAAGCAAAACUGAUUCUAAGAUUGGCUGGGGCUGACACAACAUACGCAUGGAGAUUCAACAAUCCGGCAAGGACUGGAUGUCUGAGCCUCCUAUUUAGGCAGUGGCUGAUUGUGGGACACAGAGCCGGUGUGCUGAUUGCAGAUGGUUCUCAGUCAAAUUAGUAAAGAUGGAAGACAACUUGCAUUGACUGAUCUUCACAGGAAGGACAGAGUUUGGCCUUUUAUUUGUUGGAAAACACUCAUGACAUAAAGAAGGAAUUAUAUACCGGUCUUUUCACCUCAGAGGGAGACUGGUCCAGCUUGAUCUCACUCCAAACUCCUGCAAGCAGAGAAAUUCUGAUCAUUAUCCAUCAAACUUAAGAACGUAUUUUACUUUGUAAUCACAGAAUUGAUUUUCUUACCAUGAAUUGCAACUACAAACAAUAAACUCCAGGUAAUCAUAUUUUUCAUUCUGCAGUAAACUCACUGCAAAUCAGUGACUGCCUCAAAUGCUUUGACAGUUGCUGUUGGUGUGUUUAUAAAGAAGGAAGAGUUUGCAUAGACCUCCCUCUGCAGGUUUAUAAAGGGAAGAUAGCUGUACUAUGACUGCCUGUGUUGUGAGUAUGUGGAGUAUUUACAGGACCAAAUGUUGUAAAGAAAAAUGUAAUAAAUGGAAACAAGGUAAUGGAUGCCUGUAAAACCAUAACAUAUUUUCAAAAUGUAAAAAUAUUUACAUUAGGCACACAGGCAAUA